UGAGUAAUGUCUGGGAACUGCCUGAUGGAGGGGGAUAACUACUGGAAACGGUAGCUAAUACCGCAUAACGUCGCAAGACCAAAGAGGGGGACCUUCGGGCCUCUUGCCACCAGAUGUGCCCAGAUGGGAUUAGCUAGUAGGUGGGGUAACGGCUCACCUAGGCGACGAUCCCUAGCUGGUCUGAGAGGAUGACCAGCCACACUGGAACUGAGACACGGUCCAGACUCCUACGGGAGGCAGCAGUGGGGAAUAUUGCACAAUGGGCGCAAGCCUGAUGCAGCCAUGCCGCGUGUAUGAAGAAGGCCUUCGGGUUGUAAAGUACUUUCAGCGGGGAGGAAGGCGAUAAGGUUAAUAACCUUGUCGAUUGACGUUACCCGCAGAAGAAGCACCGGCUAACUCCGUGCCAGCAGCCGCGGUAAUACGGAGGGUGCAAGCGUUAAUCGGAAUUACUGGGCGUAAAGCGCACGCAGGCGGUCUGUCAAGUCGGAUGUGAAAUCCCCGGG
rnacentral:rRNA from 1 species